GGAAACUGGCCAAGAAGCGGAAAGAGACCAUGAGCAGCACCCGACAGGAGAUGACUGUGAUGGUGAACUCAAUGGACAAGAGCUAUGCUGAGCAGGGCACAAACUGCGACGAGGCUUUCUCAUUCAUGGACACGCACAAUCUGAAUGGGAGAUCUGUGUCUUCACCAUCGUCCUUCACAAUGAAAACAAAUACACUGAGCACAUCGGUGCCUAAUUCCUAUUACCCAGACCCAUUUGUGCCAACUGCAAUUUUAGCCACGUUGUAGUGAUCCAGGUGCCAUUUCAGCAACAGCAACAUAGCUACACACUUGUGUACCACCUUUCAUACCAUGCAUCCCCAGGUGCUUUGCGAUGCAGAUAGAAGUGAGGUUCCCAAACCAGGCCCUGCUCAUCAAGCACCCUUGGACUAAAUUUUCUUCAGAGCUGAACUUCUCUGUAAAAAAUAAAUAACUUAUGAAUAACUA
rnacentral:sRNA from 1 species